rnacentral:rRNA from 1 species
AACGCGAAGAACCUUACCUGGUCUUGACAUCCACAGAACUUUCCAGAGAUGGAUUGGUGCCUUCGGGAACUGUGAGACAGGUGCUGCAUGGCUGUCGUCAGCUCGUGUUGUGAAAUGUUGGGUUAAGUCCCGCAACGAGCGCAACCCUUAUCCUUUGUUGCCAGCGGUCCGGCCGGGAACUCAAAGGAGACUGCCAGUGAUAAACUGGAGGAAGGUGGGGAUGACGUCAAGUCAUCAUGGCCCUUACGACCAGGGCUACACACGUGCUACAAUGGCAUAUACAAAGAGAAGCGACCUCGCGAGAGCAAGCGGACCUCAUAAAGUAUGUCGUAGUCCGGAUUGGAGUCUGCAACUCGACUCCAUGAAGUCGGAAUCGCUAGUAAUCGUGGAUCAGAAUGCCACGGUGAAUACGUUCCCGGGUCUUGUACACACCG